AACGUAGGACGCAAGCGUUAUCCGGAAUUACUGGGCGUAAAGCGUGUGCAGGCGGGCUGACAAGUGGGGUAUGAAAUCUUCCGGCUUAACCGGGAGCGGUUAUGCCAGACUGUCAGUCUUGAGUGCGAGAGAGGAGCGUGGAAUUCCGGGUGUAGUGGUGAAAUGCGUAGAGAUCCGGAGGAACCCCAGAGGCGAAGGCGGCGCUCUGGCUCGCAACUGACGCUCAGACACGACAGCAUGGGGAGCGAACGGG
rnacentral:rRNA from 1 species